AUGCCCGGGCGCCGGCGCUCGCCGGUACGGCCAGCCCGCGAGGCCCCGAGCCCCGCCUGGGGCCUACGCGGAACCGAGCCCUAGGCGCUUCGCCGUUGGGCCGGGCCGACCGCGACGGCAGGUGCUUCUCGGCAGCGAGCUGGGACCGCGGGAGGCUCCCGCCUUCGGGAGCUUGGUCGUCGGGCCGACCGCGGGAAGCGCCCUGCUGCUCUCAACCCCGACGGGAGGCUGCGCACCGGCCGGGGACACGUGUUUGUAUUUCUUUUUAAGCCAGAGCCCCGGCAAGAAAGGCGGCUGACCUUCGGGUGUUGUCCCACGUUGCCCGGCCUGGUGACGCGCGAUCGGGAGGACCCGGGCGCGGGAGGCGGCUGGGCUUGGCUGCUGUGCCCCACGGCCGUCUGGCUCCUUGGGAACCAUCCCGGUGGAAGACUCCGCUCCCGCCUGCCCGGGUGUCCCGGCGGCCCUCGCGCAGUUUGUUCCAGCAUCUUGGCUCAGCCUGAGUGCUCCGCUCUGAAAACUAUUGGGGCAUUAUUCAUCAAAUAUUUAUGCAUCCCCUUAACCACGUGUCUGUUGGCAGCGUGGUUUGGUGGAAAGAAGCCGCACUUUGGAAUCAAGACAGAUCUGCCAUGGAUUCUGGAUCUGAUAUCCUCUGUAUAACCUUGGACAAGCUCAUUGACCUUGCUGAGUCCCAUUUCCUUGUCUUUUGUUUGGUUUUUUACUGUUAUUUUAAUUUACCCUUUUAUAUUUGAAAUUCCUUUGUGUGUGUGUCUGUGUGUAUGCAAAAACCAGAACUGUGUCCUUUAGCUAAGUCUACCUAAAUUGGAUUCUAAAGUA